rnacentral:lncRNA from 1 species
GUUGUGAAGAGCAUCUCCUUAUUUAGGAGGAAAUGAAGCCCAGAGGAGGAUAAACAUGUGGGACUUGAAGGUAGCUCUUCAGACUCUCCUUUUCCAUCAGGAAGAAGAGGGAUCCCCAAGAGAACCACAGUGCCUCAGGGUGGAACCGAAGAUGGCAGCAGGUUCCUCCUAUCCUGCGAGAAAAUUUUAACUGCUGAUCUGACUCAUUGAAAGUGUGUGGGACUCUCCCAGUUUCCUAUUUCAUCUGAAUCACUUGGAGCAAGUUCUAGGAAUUUUUCCAUUUCAUUUAAAUUUUCAGGUAAAGUUGUUCUUAGUAUUUCUAUAUUCUCUUUGAGUGUCUUGAGUAUCAAUAGUUAUGUCUCUACAUUAAUUCCUAAUAUUCUUUAAAUUUUGUCUCUCUGUCUCUCAUCAUUUUGGACAGAAGUUUUCAAUUCUAUUGAUCUUUUAAAGAAAAAGAAAUAGUUUCUACUCUAUCUUUGCAUGUCUUCAUUUAUCCAUUUAACUACUGGGAGGCCAAAGCGUUUGUUCAGGUUUUCCAUAAGCUGUUACAGAAAAACCCGAGCAAACUUUUGGCCAAACCACUAGGUGUUUAUGCACUCAUGUUGAUGAGAGCAGAUGGUGUAAGCAGUUGUUGUAGGGAGAAAUGAUUUGGG